rnacentral:rRNA from 1 species
GACGAACGCUGGCGGCGUGCUUAACACAUGCAAGUCGAACGGAAAGGCCCUGCUUUUGUGGGGUGCUCGAGUGGCGAACGGGUGAGUAACACGUGAGUAACCUGCCCUUGACUUUGGGAUAACUUCAGGAAACUGGGGCUAAUACCGGAUAGGAGCUCCUGCUGCAUGGUGGGGGUUGGAAAGUUUCGGCGGUUGGGGAUGGACUCGCGGCUUAUCAGCUUGUUGGUGGGGUAGUGGCUUACCAAGGCUUUGACGGGUAGCCGGCCUGAGAGGGUGACCGGCCACAUUGGGACUGAGAUACGGCCCAGACUCGUAAGGGAGGCAGCAGUGGGGAAUAUUGCACAAUGGGCGGAAGCCUGAUGCAGCAACGCCGCGUGCGGGAUGACGGCCUUCGGGUUGUAAACCGCUUUCGCCUGUGACGAAGCGUGAGUGACGGUAAUGGGUAAAGAAGCACCGGCUAACUACGUG